AUUGGAGAAUUUCAAUCAUGGGGUCUUGGCUCAAACUUGUUGCUUCCUCAAAAAUCUCCCCAGAAGUUGGCUACAUGUGAAACUGAGGCAUGAAGGAAGGACUCGGAUGAUCUCACGGUUCGGAACUCCACCUGGGCCUGUCAGAGAAUUCAUAGACCCUCACUUGGAGGAAGAGAGCACAGAACAGCAAGAAAGAUGCAGGUUCCUGGGACGAUGUGGAGUGGAAAUCUUGGACGCCUAAUGACAUAUUUCUGUCCAGGAAGAAAUUUGAACUCUGAAGCCGAACUUGAUUAAACCCCAAACCGAGAGACCUUGCCCAAUGGGACCACUCCAGGACUUUGACUUCUGGGUGUCAGAGCUUAAUUAAAAUAUUCAUCCAGCUGCUCUCCACUCGCCAAGGGGGCCCAGAGGAAUUAAACCAAUAAGCUUAAUUCUAUUAGUUCACCUGCCUGUGUACAUAGACAUGCGGAAGACCAUUUACUGAUUCAGAAAAAAAUCAUCAGACCCACCCUAUAAAUUCAGCGUGGGCAGCCAUCACUGCAACAGCAACACGGUCCCCCCAGCAAACGUAACACUCAGCAAUCUCGACUCCUGUCUCCGAACACACACAGCUAUUUUUAAGACUCUUCCAAGAAAACCAAAAUGCUAAACGGGUCAAUGUAAGGAUUGAUGUGCGCGCAUGUGUGUGUUAUGAUUUAUGUGUCGUUUAUAAUAACAUGUAACAUUUACUUUGUGCCACAAUGCCAAGCCUUUCUCAUUCGUAUCUCAAGGAAACUGUCACUUCCACUCUAAAAAGUCAACACUAUCAUUACCCCCACUUGACAGAUGAGAAAACUGAGGCUCCGUGAGAUGAAAUGACUUGAAGCCCAGAAUUGUCAGACCACACAGUUGGCUGAGCAUUUAACCCCUAGUAAUGAGGGCUCUACUGAAAUCCGGAUCUUUGUUUUACAUUGGAAUUGAUGUCUUGUCUGCCAUGCACACACCUAGUGUAACAUUUGGAAGGUACAGAAGCUAUAAAGUGAAAAAUCAGCCUCACAUCAUCCCCACCUCAGCUGCCUGUUCCCUCCCCCGGCAGCCACCGCGGACAAUUUGUCUCUCCUUCUCGAGUGGAGGCUUAUACCAGCCAAUGUGGCUAUGUCUCUUUUUGUAAAAACAGAUAUGGAGCAUAACAGGUACGCUGUUCUGCAGCUUGCUUUUUUCAUUUAAUAAUAUAUCUUGGGAGAGUUCUCCAUCUCGUUCCUUUGAAGACUACACGUCAUUCCAUUCAAUAGAAGGAGUACAUUGGCCCCUAUGGGAUUGUUCAUAUUCAACCAUUUUUGACCAGCAAAAAAAAAAAAAAAAAAGGCAAUUUCACAUGAUUCUGCCUAUAUACCAUAAUUGUUUACCGAAUCUCCUAUGAUGGGCGUUUGGUUAGGUGGUUUCACAUCUUCUGCCCUUAUAAACAGUGCCGUGAUGAGUAUCAUUUGCACACACCAGUGGGUAAUAUCUGUAGGAUAAAUUCCUAGAAUUGCCACUGCCUCUGUGACCCUGGAUAAGUCAAGUUCCUUACCUUAACCCCGAGUGUGAAAUGGAGCGGCCGCAUUAGAUGAUUUCUGAAGCCCCUGCCAGGCCCUAUUGUUCUGCAAAACUGCACUUCUCACAUUUGUAAUUCUAUAUCAUAGCUGGAGAUUACUCACCACAACCUUGUGAAUAUAACCACAGCUCAAGCUCAGGGUGCCCCAAAUCACUGUGGAAACAAAUGUUUUCCACCAAACGCUAACUCACUCCCUGCUGGCCAUAUUUGUCAACCAGAGAAUGAGACAUUUCCCGGUGAUCAAUACAAAUGAAAUAGAAAUCUAUCCUGGGCGGCGGCGGCAAGACUUGGUUUUUAAUAAGGGAACCUCCAGAGGAUAUUGCAUUCCUAUGACAACGGCCGACAGACCUUGAUUUUUAGUGUCAGAAGCUGUUGAAUGCAAAGGUCUGUGGCCGGGGCCUGGCCAGGCGGUGGGUGCGGGGGUUCGGGCUGGAACCAAGUUGGUCCUGAAAGGCUGUUGCAGAAGCCUGCCGGCCGCCCCAGCCCACUGCCCAUCCACAGCCUGCUGUGGGUCACCUGUUCACGAAGGCAGCCACAUUUGCCAGCUGGGCUAUGGUGGAACCGGCCAGGCCAGACAGCUAGCCAAAGAUGAUCCGUAGCCACAGAUCUGGUUAUUUACGGCUUGCCUGUGGUCCCCAGUGACCGGGCAGCUCUCGGAUGACAGCAGUUCAUCUUAAACAAGACCAGGUACUUGGGCAGAGGUGGCAGGGAGCACAAACGACCGUACUGAUAGUCUCUUUUCUGGCUGUAAAUUUAUCUGGUAACAGAGUGACUCGGAGACACCCCGCAUUACUUGCGGUUUGCGAAGUUUACAAACUGCCCGAGACAAACUAGGAUAUUCUGAAAACACAAUUCUCACCCAAACAGCCGAGACAGUUCUGGGUUCCAUCUCUUGAUUCUUCUGCCUCUUUUAAAAUUAUCUGCCGAUACAGACCAGGGCUGGGAAAGACGGCAGAAACAGGAAAACAGCUGGCAUGGAAAGGAGAUGGGAUCGGCAGUGAUUUAUUUCCAGCGAUGUGAUAUUUUAGGUUAUUGUUAUGUGUGUGCAAUAAAUCAUAUUUUAAAGCA